rnacentral:lncRNA from 1 species
GGCACCUGUCAGGAAGGCUGGAAGGAAAACAGCCCACUGUGUGCGUCUGUGACAUGUGACCCUGCCAGGGAGGACUGCUCCUGACAGUGAGCCAAACUGGGUCUCUGCCAUGCAACUUGUGCCCAGGAGGAAGGAGGAGCCACUCUAUAAUGUGGGUAUAGACAAAAUUCCAAGGGAACACAGCUCAACAGCCAUCCUAUGCGGGGAGCCAGGGACGAAAGAAGCUGGGAAUGUUUUGGAAGAUACAACGUUAGAGGUCACCUUGACUGGCUCUCACACCCUGAAAGGGCAAUCAGGUAAGAGUCCCCACGACUGUGGCUUUCCAACCUGCCUGGCUGUUACCUGUAAUAAGAAUUACAUUUUAUUAAUUUAUUUUUUUUUAGAGGAAAACAAUUUUGGCGUGGGGGUAUUUUUUCUUUUUUCUUUUUAGGGCCGCACCUGUGGCGUAUGGAGAGGUUCCCAGGCUAGGGGCCACAUCGGAGCUACAGCUGCCAACCUAUACCACAACCACAGCAACACAGGAUCCAAGGUGCAUCUGUGCCCUACACCACAGCUCACGGCAACGCCGGAUCCUUAACCUACUAAGCAAGGCCAGGGAUCGAACCUGAGUCCUCAUGGAUGCUAAUUGGAUUCAUUUCUGCCAGGCCACAAUGGGAACUCCAAGAAGUACAUUUUAUAUCUCAACCCAGAACACACAUAAAGGCACAUAUGUAACUGAAAAAAGCAUUCCAGAAAACAGUGCUUUUCUUAUGUUCACUUUAUUUUGAUAUUUUCUAUUCUACUAUAUACUAUUCUUUGUAUGUUUUCAUUUUUAAUUAAAAAUUUAUUUUUUUAUUCUAUAUUUUUUUUAUAAAAAAUGGUUGUGAGGCCAUUCAAUUGAUUUCUUGACUUAAUGGGUUGAAAUUCAUCGUUUAACAAUCCCUGUCUCAGGGGCCAGAGCUGGAACCCACAGAUGGAAGCCAUGAGGGGCCGGUCAUUCCUUCAGGAUCACAAAGGACUUCUAUCAGGCAGAGGUAACACACGAUGACAUUGCUCUCCUUGGGGGCAGUGAAUUUUGGCUUUUCGGAAUUUUCAAACCUAGGCUGAAUGGCAGGAUGAUAACUGCAGUGCAGGAAGGACUCAGACAUCAAAUGGGGGCUGAAUUAAACAUCCCUAAGGUCCUUUCCCUCUCUGAGAGGCCUCAGUUGGAUUCACAGAAUUGGCAGUUAAAGAGUUCAACCACUUUCGGCCACAUUAACAGAAGCAUGGCAGAUAUCUCUUGGGAGGUGAAGAAGGCCCUGCUCCCUGCUGUUCAGACCUCAAACCAGAGUAUCAGAACCAGCCUGCAGACACACUUGGAGAUAUACUUUUGAAGUUAUUCACUCAUCUGUUCAUUUGUCUGACAAAUAUGUAUGAUGUGUCUAGGACCAGCCACACACCGAUGCAGGCUCUGGGAAUGUAAGACUGAGAGAGCCCAAGCCAAAAGGAGAUCGCUGACUAGUGAGGAAGAGGUUAUCAUUAAAUACAUAUUUUUUGAGUGUCUAACUAUCUGUCAGUCACUGCUUUAGGGGCUGGGGAUGUGUCCGUGCAUCAGUGCAAAAAUAUAAAAAAAUAAAAUCCUGGCCUUCAUUGGAAUUUACA